AGGGGGCAAGCGUUAUCCGGAUUUACUGGGUGUAAAGGGAGCGUAGACGGUUCUGCAAGUCUGGAGUGAAAGCCCGGGGCUCAACCCCCGGGGACUGCUUUGGAAACUGUGGAACUGGAGUGCAGGAGAGGUAAGUGGAAUUCCUAGUGUAGCGGUGAAAUGCGUAGAUAUUAGGAGGAACACCAGUGGCGAAGGCGGCUUACUGGACUGUAACUGACGUUGAGGCUCGAAAGCGUGGGGAGC
rnacentral:rRNA from 1 species